UCCUGGCUCAGAGUGAACGCUGGCGGCAGGCCUAAUACAUGCAAGUCGAACGGCAGCACAGUGGAGCUUGCUCCAUGGGUGGCGACCGGCGCACGGGUGCGUAACACGUAUACAACCUACCUAUAACAGGGGGAUAGCCUUUCGAAAGAGAGAUUAAUACCCCGUAAUAAAUUGAGUGGCAUCACUUGAUUUUGAAAGCUCCGGCGGUUAUAGAUGGGUAUGCGUCUGAUUAGCUAGUUGGUGAGGUAAUGGCUCACCAAGGCGACGACCAGUAGGGGAUCUGAGAGGACUAACCCCCACACUGGUACUGAGACACGGACCAGACUCCUACGGGAGGCAGCAGUAAGGAAUAUUGGUCAAUGGAGGCAACUCUGAACCAGCCAUGCCGCGUGCAGGAUGACGGCCCUAUGGGUUGUAAACUGCUUUUGUACCAGAGAAAACCCCAGUACGUGUACUGGGUUGAUAGUAUGGUAAGAAUAAGCAUCGGCUAACUUCGUG
rnacentral:rRNA from 1 species